rnacentral:rRNA from 1 species
GACGAACGCUGGCGGCGUGCUUAACACAUGCAAGUCGAACGGAAAGGCCCUGCUUUUGUGGGGUGCUCGAGUGGCGAACGGGUGAGUAACACGUGAGUAACCUGCCCUUGACUUUGGGAUAACUUCAGGAAACUGGGGCUAAUACCGGAUAGGAGCUCCUGCUGCAUGGUGGGGGUUGGAAAGUUUCGGCGGUUGGGGAUGGACUCGCGGCUUAUCAGCUUGUUGGUGGGGUAGUGGCUUACCAAGGCUUUGACGGGUAGCCGGCCUGAGAGGGUGACCGGCCACAUUGGGAUGGGGAUACGGCCCAGACUCCUACGGGGGGAAGCAGUGGGGAAUAUGGCACAAGGGGCGGAAGCCUGAGGCAGCAACGCCGCGGGGGGGAUGGCGGCCUUCGGGUUGUAAACCGCUUUCGCCUGUAACGAAGCGUGAGUGACGGUAAUGGGAAAAGAAGCACCGGCUAACUACGU